GCUGUACAGACUGCUGCCCUGUGGGCUGGCUAGGUUGCUCUCUGCCACCAACCACUGCCAAACGCUGUGGACUAACUGAACGCCUGUGUUACCUGCUGGUCAAAGAUAGUUACUGCAUCUGGAGUAGAAAUCAGGUCCAGGGACCUGUUACUCCUCUGGCGUCCUACAUGUCAACUGCUCACCGUGUCACAGAAAAGAGAAGAGAAGAGAAGAGAAGAGAAGAGAAGAGAAGAGAAGAGAAGAGCGACAAGUACUCUGGUUUUAUCUGACUUGUUCCUUUUCCCCAUCUCCCUUGUCCUCUGUCUCCUGUCUUUGUCUGUUAUUCCCUGCCCAUUGUUCCUCUGGGACAGAUAAAUAUCCUUUGUGCUGAGAACUUGGUCUUGAGGUGUCUUGUACAAAUACAGACCCCUUCAAAUGUCCUAACAUUUUGUAAAAAGUGAUGAGCACUAAGGAAGAAUGCUUGCCUAUCAUGGAUCAGUACUGUGAAAAAGAAAUUGGGGAUAGGGGUUUCAAGACAAGGUUUCUCUGAGUAGCCCUGGCUGUCCUGGAACUCACUCUGUAGACAAGGCUGGCCUCAACUCAGAUCUGCCUGCCUCUGCCUCCCAAAUGCUAGAAUUACAGGCAUGUACCACCCCUACCUGGCUAAUACUGUAAAUUUUUUUUAAUGAAAAUUUAAAUAUGUAUGUUUAAACCUUUUUAUACAGUUAGGAAAUAGAAUCAUCCUUAAGUUUAUUUUAAACAAUUAUCUAGCAUUAACAAUAAUAAAGUUCAUGCUAUUAAGGUUGUUCCAGAAAAUCCAGGUCGUUCAACGUUUGGUUCUUUGACGUUUAUUUUGUUUCCAUGAUUUCCAGGUGUAAAACACCUGGAAGCUCAGGCCUCCAGGGUCUCAGCCCAGGACCCCAAUCACCAGGCGGAUUUGAAAGCUUGAUGCAAACUG